rnacentral:rRNA from 1 species
GGGUUGUGAGGUUAAGCGACUAAGCGUACACGGUGGAUGCCCUGGCAGUCAGAGGCGAUGAAGGACGUGCUAAUCUGCGAAAAGCGCCGGCGAGGUGAUAUGAACCUUUGACCCGGCGAUGUCCGAAUGGGGAAACCCAGUGUGUUCCGACACACUAUCGUUAACUGAAUACAUAGGUUAACGAGGCGAACCGGGGGAACUGAAACAUCUAAGUACCCCGAGGAAAAGAAAUCAACCGAGAUUCCCCCAGUAGCGGCGAGCGAACGGGGAGCAGCCCGGAGUCUGAAUCAGCUUGUGUGUUAGUGGAACGGUCUGGAAAGUCCGACGGUACAGGGUGAUAGUCCCGUACACGAAAAUGCACAGGUUGUGAACUCGAAGAGUAGGGCGGGACACGUGGUAUCCUGUCUGAAUAUGGGGGGACCAUCCUCCAAGGCUAAAUACUCCUGACUGACCGAUAGUGAACCAGUACCGUGAGGGAAAGGCGAAAAGAACCCCGGCGAGGGGAGUGAAAAAGAACCUGAAACCGUGUACGUACAAGCAGUGGGAGCCU